CAGAGUGCAAUAGGCAUCCUGCAAGUCUAAACACACUGUGUUAUAGCGUUGUAAUCAGCUUUGUGAAUUGCAGUGCCUAAGGGGCAGUUUUAUUACCAUAGGGUCACUUUUCUUUCAACAACUCUUGAAUCUACUUAAAAAAGUGUUCAAAUCAUGUAAAUUGAUGUGAAAAAAUACGACGACCGUCCGCCGAGUCCGGUGUGGGCAGCUGUUGCCGGCGGCGAAGAUUUCUUGAGAAGGAGAAAGAGAAGUAAAAGGAAAGAUAACAAAACAAAACAAAAAUAAAAUAUAAAAAAUACAUAUAAUAUUUGAAAAAAAAAAAAGAGGAAAUUUUUCUAACUUUUAAAAUUCAUUACUACGAAGUUAUCAAAUACUCUUUGGUUUUC
rnacentral:lncRNA from 1 species